CACACGGCCUGCAACCAUGCCCUCACCCCGCGUCCACCCGCGCUUCACUUCAUCUGCCGACUCUGCCGGGCGGCAGGAGGGAGUCUCUCCGAGGCUCCUCCUCCGCAUCUCCCGCCAGUACUGUCCUGUCCACUCCCACCCUCAAGCUCCCGGCUCCCGAUUGUGACAGGCCGCGGCCUGGCCCCUGCGUACGGCCAGGUGGAGGCGACUCGGGGUAGUAUGGAAUCGCAAGGAAGUGGCCAUUCUGUGGCGCACCCAGACUGUCCCUCCAAGGCCUCAGGGAUCCCAGCUCUUUCCUGAGAGACUCCGGGACAAGGAGGACCCGCCCACUCCGGGAGGAGCGAAGCUUUGGCUGACAACCUAGCCAAUGGGAGGCGAGGACUGCAGCACAACGUGGAGCGGCUGCAGAAUGUAAACAGUGCCCCCGCGCGCGAUCUACUCUCCCUCCGGCCACCCGGGACCGGCGGUGGCGUCCUAGCGCGGCCACGCUCAGGGAGUACUACUUGCACUCUGCCUCAGCCCGCCGACAGAGGAAGGCUGCUCUGAUGUGACAUUUGAGCAGAGAACUGUGAAGUGACAGAAUAAGCCAAGAAGAUAUGAAGGAAGAACAUUCCAGGCAGGGGAUUAGCAAGACCAGAGGACCUUGGCAUAUUUAGUGAACAAGGAGGUCAAUAUGCUGGAAUGUGGGGGAAGUCAGUGAGAAUGUGGAUGGCUCAGGAAAACCCAUUACAACUACUAAAAAAUAAAGUGACUGACUAGAGGACUCAAACUGAAGGAAGCAGGAAUCGCUUGUAUCAGCCAAGCACUCAAGAGAUGCAGGUAAACAGGAAAAGACUGAUGGGUGCUCUGUGGGCGACUCUUCACCGAUGUCGUCAUCAUCGUCUUCCUCUGCUGAAAAACCAGUACACGUGUCUAGAACGUGGUCCAUGUUGCAUUCCAAAAUGUGUUGAUCAACAGUCCAGGGGAGGAUGAUUAUCACAUUGAUCAUCAUGGAGCCACCCAUCAAAUUCAGAGCAUAGAAAAAGAAGAGACAAUACUGUUAGCUGAUGCUUACAU